rnacentral:rRNA from 1 species
UACGUAGGGUCCGAGCGUUGUCCGGAGUUACUGGGCGUAAAGCGCGCGCAGGCGGCCCGCGAGGUGUCACGUGAAAGCCCCGGGCUCAACUCGGGAGGGUCGUGGCAAACCGGCGGCUUGAGGCCGGUAGAGGUGGGUGGAACUCCUGGUGGAGUGGUGAAAUGCGUAGAGAUCAGGAAGAACACCCGUGGCGAAGGCGGCCCACUGGGCCGGUGCUGACGCUG